rnacentral:lncRNA from 1 species
GUUCCUGCCUUGACUUCCUUCCCUGACUUCCCUCAGCGAUGGACUGCGAUGUGGAAAUGUGUGGAUUAGAACCUGUGAUUGCCAUGUGUGGCAGGUACUCUGACCCAGGCUGCAUGAGAACAGUGACCCCAGAACAAGUGAGCGGAAAGACUGGCGCUGAGGAGACCACGUUUGCUGGCACAAUUCCUGUCUAUUGGUGUGACCCUUAGUCUCGGUUGACUUGACUGCAUCUGGAAUCAACUAAGAAAUAAACUGCUGGGUAGUUCCUGUAAGAAUUUUACUUGACCAGCAUAUUUGAAGUAAGAAGACCCACCCUGGAUGUGAGCAGUGCCUUCUGGUGGCACCACAGAUAAGGUUCUGGGGAAAGCUUUGCUGUUUGUUACAGAUU